rnacentral:misc_RNA from 1 species
AACGCACGAGACCUGCGGACCUGCGGAGGGAUCAUUACCAAGGUUUACUGCUGGGAGAUUCUCCUGGUAGUUCCUUUCUUACAAUCCCUUGCGUGCAGCUGGUGGUGAAGAGGGCGAUGCCCAUGACAAACGCCAUCUUUUUUGAGAACCGAUGCUGCUCCACCUCCUCGUUGGUGGUUCCUGGGUAAUGCCAAGAGAGCAGUAAAUCCAACUGACGAUGAUGAGAAAUGCAUCCAUGCC